rnacentral:snRNA from 1 species
AGCUUUGUGCAGUGGCAGUACUAUAGCCAAGGAGGUUUAUCUGAGGCACGAUGGUCGCUAAUUCAAAAUGCAUACGAUAAAUACAAGUGUAAAGAUGAAAAUCACCUGUUAUCUCAUCCCUGCUAACAUUUUGGUUGAUUUUACUCCAGA